rnacentral:rRNA from 1 species
AAGCAUAUCACUAAGCGGAGGAAGAGAAACUAACCAGGAUUCCCUUAGUAACGGCGAGUGAAGAGGGAAAAGCCCAGCACCGAAGCCUGUGGUCAUUUGACCCCUAGGCAAUGUGGUGUUUAGGUCAGCCCGCGGAGAUACUGCUCCACCCUAAGUCCUAUAAUGAGUAAGGUUACUCGGACGUGGCCCAAUGAGGGUGAAAGGCCCGUGGGGGUGGAGACUCAGAUUGGCCAGUAUCUUCCUGUGCAGACCUUGGAGUCGGGUUGUUUGAGAAUGCAGCCCAAAGUGGGUGGUAAACUCCAUCCAAGGCUAAAUACUAACACGAGUCCGAUAGCGAACAAGUACCGUGAGGGAAAGUUGAAAAGUACUUUGAAGAGAGAGUAAACAGUACGUGAAACCGCUCAGAGGUAAACGGGUGGAGUUGAACUGCAAGCUCUGAGGAUUAAGCUGGUGAGUAUGGCAUGAGCUGGGUCAUGUUGGUUGUGAGUCUGGGUCUGCUUAGCCGCAGGUUCUCGCCUUCUGGUGGGAAUGCGCGUUGCACUUAUCAAGUGUUGUGCGCUCAGUCUCCUUCGAACCUGCUCGCCAGUGCACUUUCUCAGAGUGUUCACCACGACCGACGUCGCCGCCUGGCUGUUGCGGUUAAACCGGCCGCGUAGGGUCUUUGUGACCUUGCACGGUUCGGGAUGGCAGGUAGCCUGUUGUGCACUUUUGUGCCUUCAGGUGUAAUAGCUGACUGCAUCGGUUCUGUGCGGUACGUCGGAGACGGCGGCUUGCUGUGUGUGCAGGCGUGCUGUUGUGCUGACGGCUUCGAGUCUGGUUGCCUUGUUGCUUGUGAAUGCAGGCCGGGUGAUGGCUUGUUGCUGUUCAGUGCACAGUUGCGUUUGUGACACUAUGACAGGGCCAACAGUCUGUGGUGUAGUGGUAGACUAUCCACCUGACCCGUCUUGAAACACGGACCAAGGAGAGUAACAUGUGCGCGAGUCAUUGGGCGUUACGAAACCCAAAGGCGCAGUGAAAGUAAAGGUUCGGCUUGUCCGAGCUGAGGUGAGAUCCUGUCGUUUCUCACGCGCGGUACUACCAAGCAUCGAGCGGCAGGCGCAUCACCGGCCCGUCCCAUGGCGUGGCAGCCUCGUGCCAGCCUAUCGCCGGGGCGGAGCAUGAGCGUACAUGUUGAGACCCGAAAGAUGGUGAACUAUGCUUGCGCAGGUUGAAGCCAGAGGAAACUCUGGUGGAGGACCGCAGCGAUUCUGACGUGCAAAUCGAUCGUCAAACGUGAGUAUAGGGGCGAAAGACUAAUCGAACCAUCUAGUAGCUGGUUCCCUCCGAAGUUUCCCUCAGGAUAGC